AGUGAACGCUGGCGGUAGGCCUAACACAUGCAAGUCGAACGGCAGCACAGUAAGAGCUUGCUCUUACGGGUGGCGAGUGGCGGACGGGUGAGGAAUACAUCGGAAUCUACUUUUUCGUGGGGGAUAACGUAGGGAAACUUACGCUAAUACCGCAUACGACCUACGGGUGAAAGCAGGGGAUCUUCGGACCUUGCGCGAUUGAAUGAGCCGAUGUCGGAUUAGCUAGUUGGCGGGGUGAAGGCCCACCAAGGCGACGAUCCGUAGCUGGUCUGAGAGGAUGAUCAGCCACACUGGAACUGAGACACGGUCCAGACUCCUACGGGAGGCAGCAGUGGGGAAUAUUGGACAAUGGGCGCAAGCCUGAUCCAGCCAUACCGCGUGGGUGAAGAAGGCCUUCGGGUUGUAAAGCCCUUUUGUUGGGAAAGAAAAGCAGCAGGUUAAUACCCCGCUGUUCUGACGGUACCCAAAGAAUAAGCACCGGCUAACUUCG
rnacentral:rRNA from 1 species